AACGAACGCUGGCGGCAUGCCUAACACAUGCAAGUCGAACGAACCCUUCGGGGUGAGUGGCGCACGGGUGCGUAACGCGUGGGAACCUGCCCUUAGGUUCGGAAUAACAGUGAGAAAUCGCUGCUAAUACCGGAUAAUGUCUUCGGACCAAAGAUUUAUCGCCUUUGGAUGGGCCCGCGUUGGAUUAGCUAGUUGGUGGGGUAAAGGCUCACCAAGGCGACGAUCCAUAGCUGGUCUUAGAGGAUGAUCAGCCACACUGGGACUGAGGCACGGCCCAGACUCCUACGGGAGGCAGCAGUGGGGAAUAUUGGACAAUGGGCGAAAGCCUGAUCCAGCAAUGCCGCGUGAGUGAUGAAGGCCUUAGGGUUGUAAAGCUCUUUUACCAGGGAUGAUAAUGACAGUACCUGGAGAAUAAGCUCCGGCUAACUCCGUG
rnacentral:rRNA from 1 species